rnacentral:ncRNA from 1 species
UGGUACACCUCGGGGGGCCUUCACUGGCUGAGAUGCGCAAGCGGACCCGUUGAACCUGAACCGGUUAAGACCGGCGGAGGGAAGGUCCGGCACUCAUGC